UACAGAGGUCCCGAGCGUUGUUCGGAUUCACUGGGCGUAAAGGGUGCGUAGGUGGCAUGUUAAGUUUGAUGUGAAAGCUCAGGGCUCAACCCUGAAAUGGCAUUGAAUACUAGCGUGCUGGAGGUUUGGAGGGGGGACUGGAAUUCUCGGUGUAGCAGUGAAAUGCGCAGAUAUCAGGAGGAACACCUAUUGCGAAGGCAGCUCGCUGGGACGUAACUGACGCUGAGACGCGAAAGCGUGGGGAGCAAACAGG
rnacentral:rRNA from 1 species